UCAGAACUUCAAACAGAAGACUAAAAAGUGUUGUUGUCAAAGUUUGAUCCACAUCAACCUUUCCAAAUCAUUUGUAUUAAAGUGAAUUCUAUCGAGGAACUAGAUAACUACAAACGUAGGGUGUGAGAUUCACAGUUGUUCAAGCUUCACAAAAGAUUCCCAAUUCUAGCAAUGUCUCUUACAGAAAUGUAUCAAAAUCUCAGCCUCUUCAAUCAUUUUCAACUCUUGUUACUUGCAACCCUAUUAAUGAACCUUCCUUGUAACUAAAGCAUUAAAAGAAAGCAAGGUAUCUAAUCUACAAAAAAAUAGAUUAAUGAAAAAGGUAAAUGGCAGCAUAUACUAAACCCUAUAAGCCUUUCGUUCAAAUUCAAGCAUUGAAGGGGGCUAGAGCUAGAAAUAGAGCUUCCCAGUCUGAAAUCCAAUCAUCAAAACUAAAAAUUAAAGAAAAGGCAAGAAUAGAGACAACCUUAGACUCCAAUUUCUUAGAUUAUCUUAAUUUGGGUUUCGGAUUACCCAGACAAAAGGAACAUCUGAUGA